UAAACAUUGAUUUUUUUUUACACCCAUUAUCCGCCCGGGUAUUACAAGCGUUAGCUCAAAACCCAAAGGACUUGGCGGUGCUUAAGACCCCCCUAGAGGAGCCUGUUCUAGAACCGAUAAUCCUCGUUUAACCUCACCCUUUCUUGUUUUUUCCGCCUAUAUACCGCCGUCGUCAGCUUACCCUGUGAAGGCCCAAUAGUGAGCAAAAAUGGCACAGCCUAAAACGUCAGGUCGAGGUGUAGCAUAUGAAGGGGGAAGAAAUGGGCUACAUUCUCUAAAAUAGAGAAUACGGAUAAUAUAUUGAAACAUAUAUUUAAAGGAGGAUUUAGCAGUAAGAGAAAAUUAGAAUGUUUCUCUGAAUCAGGCUCUAAAGCGCGC
rnacentral:rRNA from 1 species